rnacentral:ncRNA from 2 species
ACAGCAGAUCACGACUGGCGCGGGUGGGUCACCACCGGGAAGUGACAGCGAGCGCAUCGCCCGCCUGGGUGCGCUCA